UGUCCCUGACCUGGAUAGAGCAGCAUCCGAUUGGUGGUGCCCGUCUCAUGUCAGCAGGGGCAAAGCAAGCUCUUGUUUACCCCAGCUUGGCUUUUAGUCUGUGCCCAUGCCUGGUUCAUGCCUUGGACACAUAG